AAACUACAUAUAUAUAAAAAAAAAUUUGCAGUUCUGGUUAAUAGCUAGUAAAGAUUAGAACCUUCAUAGUGGAGAUUUCCAGUCCUUGACUUAAAUUGGUUAAAUUGAACAAUCUGCGUAUCAAGAGAAAAAAAAACACUAAUCCCAUACUCAAAUAUAUUAUCUUUCUACCUCCUAAUGGUUGAUCCGCCUGUAGCAAAAUUGGCUCCAUGCCUAUAA
rnacentral:misc_RNA from 1 species